rnacentral:rRNA from 1 species
UACGUAGGGGGCUAGCGUUGUCCGGAAUCAUUGGGCGUAAAGAGCGUGUAGGCGGUCCGGUAAGUCCGUUGUGAAAGUCAAGGGCUCAACCCUUGAAUGCCGGCGGAUACUGUCGGGCUCGAGUACGGAAGAGGCGAGUGGAAUUCCUGGUGUAGCGGUGAAAUGCGCAGAUAUCAGGAGGAACACCAAUUGCGAAGGCAGCUCGCUGGGACGUUACUGACGCUGAGACGCGAAAGCGUGGGGAGCAAACAGG